UACGUAGGGUGCGAGCGUUAAUCGGAAUUACUGGGCGUAAAGCGUGCGCAGGCGGUCUGUUAAGACAGAUGUGAAAUCCCCGGGCUUAACCUGGGAACUGCAUUUGUGACUGGCAGGCUAGAGUAUGGCAGAGGGGGGGUAGAAUUCCACGUGUAGCAGUGAAAUGCGUAGAGAUGUGGAGGAAUACCGAUGGCGAAGGCAGCCCCCCUGGGCCCAAUACUGACGCUCAUGCACGAAA
rnacentral:rRNA from 1 species